GACCUGCGGAAGGAUCA
rnacentral:rRNA from 2 species